GUGUCAGCCGCCGCGGUAAUACAGAGGUGGCAAGCGUUGUUCGGAAUUGCUGGGCGUAAAGGGCUCGUAGGUGGCCAACUAAGUCAGACGUGAAAUCCCACGGCUUAACCGGGGAACUGCGUCUGAUACUGGAUGGCUUGAGUUCGGGAGAGGGAUGCGGAAUUCCAGGUGUAGCGGUGAAAUGCGUAGAUAUCUGGAGGAACACCGGUGGCGAAGGCGGCAUCCUGGACCGACACUGACACUGAGGAGCGAAAGCCAGGGGAGCAAACGGGAUUAGAUACCCCGGUAGUCCUGGCCCUAAACGAUGAAUGCUUGGUGUGGCGGGUAUCGAUCCCUGCCGUGCCGAAGCUAACGCAUUAAGCAUUCCGCCUGGGGAGUACGGUCGCAAGGCUGAA
rnacentral:rRNA from 1 species